AACAUUUCUGUAUUACCCAUACAUUCACCCGGUUUCACUGCAUGUCUUAACUCCAGACCGUCCUCCGGGUCAUCCUCCAGGUACGCCCCCGCCUGCAGCGCAACAGUGGCCACUGAAGAGACAGCGGGCUGGAUGGGCUUAGUGGAGAGAGUGUUAGAAGGACCUCGUCAAACAACACAAAUGGCACUCCCUCAUCCCAAUUUGGAUUAUCCAUACAGUAUUUUCGGAGCAUCGAUUUGAGGGUCUGGUGCCACCGCUCGAGUGCUCCCUGGCUUUCCGGAUGAUACGCACUCGAGACCUGGUAUUGGUUACCACUCCGCGUUCUUGGUAAAGGACCCACACAAUCCACGAUUACCCGUUCGAACGGUUCUCCCAGCACAGGAAUCGGAUGCAGAGGCGCCCGAGGGAUGACCUGGUUCGCUUUUCCUGUUAGUUGGCAUUCAUGACAGGUAUUACAAAAUUCCACAACAUCUGACUUUAGACCUGGCCAGAAAAAGUGGCGAAGGACUCUGUCAUAAGUCUUUGUUAUUCCUAGGUGCCCAGCCCAAGCAGGGUCAUGUGCUAGGGAUAACACUUGCUGUCUGAAUGGUUUAGGGACGACCACCUGCUUGACAACCCCUAAACCC
ensembl:lncRNA